rnacentral:rRNA from 1 species
AUACGUAGGGGGCAAGCGUUGUCCGGAAUUACUGGGCGUAAAGGGCGCGUAGGCGGCCCGGUAAGUCUGGAGUGAAAGUCCUGUUUUUAAGAUGGGAAUUGCUUUGGAUACUGUCGGGCUUGAGUGCAGGAGAGGGAAGUGGAAUUCCCAGUGUAGCGGUGAAAUGCGUAGAGAUUGGGAGGAACACCAGUGGCGAAGGCGACUUACUGGACUGUAACUGACGCUGAGGCGCGAAAGUGUGGGGAGCAAACAGGAUUAGAUACCCUGGUAGUCCACACUGUAAACGAUGAAUGCUAGGUGUAGGGGGUAUCGACCCCUUCUGUGCCGCAGUCAACACAAUAAGCAUUCCGCCUGGGGAGUACGGCCGCAAGGUUGAAACUUAAAGGAAUUGACGGGG